GCCUGGCUGGCUCAGUCUGUAGAGCAUGCGACUCUUGAUCUCUGGGUCAUGAGUUCAAAUCCCAUGUUGGGUA
rfam:Felis catus isolate Cinnamon breed Abyssinian chromosome A1, whole genome shotgun sequence.